rnacentral:lncRNA from 1 species
AGGGACAAAGCAGUGCUGUGGACACAGACUCCAACAUCCACAGACCAUGGGAUUCAGGGAACUGCUCCUUCCUGAGAGAAAACACAGAUCAGCAGGAGGAAGGACAGCAGAUGCUGGUGCUGUGUUGGAGGGGAAGUUCUCCUUUUCAAAGAGAGGACAGUACAGUGAGAAGAGAGAUGUAGGUGCCCUUCGCACUUGUCUACAAGGGUAUAUACCCUGGCAGGGUCUUCUGUUCACAGCUUUUCUUUUAACCUCCUGGCUCCUGCCCACCACUCUCCAAGUCACCAUAGAAUUAGUGCCACCCCAAGUGGCUGAAGGAGAAAAUGUCCUUUUUCUUGCUCACAAUCUGCCAGAGAAUCUUAUAGCCAUAGCCUGGUUCAAGGGAGUGACAAAUAUGAAUCUUGGAAUUGCACUGUAUGCACUGGCCUCUAACAUAAGUGUGACAGGGCCUGAACACAGUGGUAGAGAGACGGUGUACAGCAAUGGAUCCCUGCUACUUCAAAAUGUCACCCAGAAGGACACAGAAUUCUAUACUCUACGAACGUUAAAUAGACAUGGAGAAAUUGUAUCAACAACAUCCAUAUACCUCCAUGUGUACACCUUCUUUUGGACCUGUGGACCGCUUUCUCCCUCUGUCCAGCUCACUAUUGAAUCAGUGCCACCCAAUGUUGCUGAUGGGGGAAGUGUUCUUCUAGUUGUUCACAAUCUUCCAGAGAAUCUUCGAGCCUUUUUCUGCCCCCUUUCUACAUGCUGUAACCCCCUCACCUUUUCUCA